GUGCUUGCUUUGGCAGCACAUAUACUAAAAUUGAAGUGAUACAGAGAAGAUUAGCAUGGCCCCUGUGCAAGGAUAACACACAGAUUUGUGAAGCAUUCCAUAUUUUU
rnacentral:snRNA from 1 species